UCCAACCUUAUCUCUCUCACAAAUAGGGGCGGAUCCACAAAGGAGCAAGGGUGGUCAACUGACCUCUACAACCUCUGAAAUCCUUCAUUAAAGCAGCCAAAAUUGACUCCCGCAAAGUGUUCGACAAAAUGCCCCAGAGGGGCAACCUGUGUUUGUGUGUAGCUGGAGGAGAAGAAGCGCAGUGCGAGCCUUUUUUUUUUUUUUUGGUUCGCUCAACGUCAAAAUGACGCCGUUCUACUAAAGUUUUUUUUUUUUAGAACCUGCGCCAAAAUGCGUGAGCUUUUUUUGUUUUGUUUUUUAUUUUUUUUUCUGUUCGCGACGUCAUUCUACUAAAGUUUUUAUUUUAUUUUUAAACCUGGCCAAAACGACGUUGUUUUGGCAUAGGUUUUGAAAAAAAAAAAAAAAAAAGCUGCUCUGUUUUUGCCUGAUAAUUCCCCCCUCCCAAAUGAGUUUUAACUCAUUUCUCCCCUCUAAACUUCUCAACCCUAAAUCCCCAACACAACCUUCACUUCGUUCCCCCACAAAUCUG
rnacentral:lncRNA from 1 species